rnacentral:rRNA from 1 species
GAUGGUAGUGUAUUGGACUACCAUGGCUUUAACGGGUAACGGAGGAUUAGGGUUUGAUUCCGGAGAGGGGGCCUGAGAGAUGGCCACCACAUCCAAGGAAGGCAGCAGGCGCGUAAAUUACCCAAUUUCGACACGAAGAGGUAGUGACAAUAAAUAACAAUGCCGGGCCUUUCUAGGUCUGGCAAUUGGAAUGAGAACAAUUUAAAUCCAUUAUCGAGGAUCAAUUGGAGGGCAAGUCUGGUGCCAGCAGCCGCGGUAAUA